CAUAGUAGAUAUGAUGCAAGAUCGACUAUGUUGAAUAAAAUUCUAGGUAGAAUUAUGAUAAUGACAUUGUCUGCCUAUGUGUCUUGACCAAAUUACGUGCCAGCAGUCGCGGUAAUACGUAGAAGACUAGUGUUAUUCAUGUUUAAUCGGUUUAAAGGGUACCUAGACGGUAGAUCAAGCUUUCUAAUAAAGGAAAAGGACUAGUUUACUAGAGUUACUUAUGAGGGGGUAUUAAAGUACUGCUGGUGUAGAGAUGAAAUUCUGUCAUACCUCUUUUCGAAAGAAAAACCAUGGCACAGGUAUAGGCGAAGGCAUCCCCUUAUGUGAUAACUGACGUUGAGGGACGAAGGCUUUGUGUAGCGAACAGGAUUAGAUACCCCAGUAGUCGAAGCAGAAAAUGAUGAAUGUCAUAGAUUAGAUAUAUAAGUUUAUUCUAUAAAUGAAAGUGUAAGCAUUCCACCUCAUGAGUAAUUUGGCAACAUUGGAACUGAAAUCAUUAGACCGUUUCUGAAACCAGUAGUGAAGUAUGUUGUUUAAUUUGAUGUCCCGCAAAAAACCUUACCACAAUUUGAAUAUUUAUAUUGUUUAUUGUUUUAUUAUUAAUUUUCUUUAAGAAAAUUAAGAAAAAAGCAAUAAGAUAUAAUUACAAGCGUUGCACGGCUGUCUUCAGUUAAUGUCGCGAGACUUUGGUUAGUUCCAUUAAAUUAACGUAAACCCUUACUUUAUUUUUAUAUAGAGUAGUUCCCCGCUAUAUUGGAUAU
rnacentral:rRNA from 1 species